rnacentral:lncRNA from 1 species
GAUGCUGGGAGGGUUUCGACCUACCGCGGGUCGGCGCCGAUAGCGGAGGCCCCUCGCCCGGACAACAACAGGACUGGAGUCCGUUUCGAGCCUCCCCUUGUCCUAACUAAGCGCCGGCGGCGACGGCGACGGCGACGGCGACGACGGCGCUCUUGGUGGGAGUGGUGGCGACGCCAGAGGAGGCGGAGGAGGAGGCGACAGAGGCGGUCAAGCAUCCCGAAGCCCUGUAGCUCAAAGGACAAGGGAUGCCCGGAGGGUGCACCAGUGGCGUUAGGAUCUCCUCCCCGGCAGCCUUCCCUGCCUCAAUUGCCUGGACCCAGAAAAGUUCGACGCCGGAAACCGCGGCAUCGACGGCGCAGGCGGGGGAUCAUGGAACUGGAGAACUUCAUGGCCAACACUUUGUUGCUGAAGGCUCGUCAAGGAUUUACCAAAAAGACUGGUCGCAGUAAAAAGUGGAGAGAGCUCCUGAAGUUGCCCCCAGUCAGCAUGUGCAGUGACUUACGACACUCCAUCGAGCUGGGGACCGAACCCAGGGCCUUGCGCUUGCUAGGCAAGCGCUCUACCACUGAGCUAAAUCCCCAACCCCACUAAUAAACUUUUUACUGGAUGG